rnacentral:tRNA from 1 species
GCAGAUAUAGUUUAGGGGUAAAACAACACCUUGCCAAGGUGUGGUCACGGGUUCGAAUCCCGUUAUCUGCU